AAAGUCGUAACAAGGUUUCCGUAGGUGAACCUGCGGAAGGAUCAUUAACAAAUUCAAUAUACACACCGCGAACCGAUCGGGCGAGGCUCGCCUUGCCCGAUGAUAAACGUAAAUGUCGACUGUAAAAAUGAAAUAAUACAACUUUUAACAAUGGAUCUCUUGGCUCUC
rnacentral:misc_RNA from 1 species